rnacentral:rRNA from 1 species
GCAGCCGCCGCGGUAAUACGUAGGUGGCAAGCGUUGUCCGGAGUUAUUGGGCGUAAAGGGCUCGCAGGCGGUUUCUUAAGUCUGAUGUGAAAGCCCCCGGCUCAACCGGGGAGGGUCAUUGGAAACUGGGAAACUUGAGUGCAGAAGAGGAGAGUGGAAUUCCACGUGUAGCGGUGAAAUGCGUAGAGAUGUGGAGGAACACCAGUGGCGAAGGCGACUCUCUGGCCUGUAACUGACGCUGAGGAGCGAAAGCGUGGGGAGCGAACAGGGUUAGAUACCCCGGUAGUCCCUGUCUCUUAUAC